AUACUUACCUGGCAGGGGAGAUACCGUGAUCAAGAAGGUGGUUCACCCAGGGCGAGGCUCAACCAUUGCACUCCAGUUGUGCUGACCACCGCGAAUUCCCCAAAUGUGGGAAUCUCGACUGCAUCAUUUCUGGUAGUGGGGGACUGCGUUCGCGCUCUCCCCUG
rnacentral:snRNA from 1 species